rnacentral:rRNA from 1 species
CCUACGGGAGGCAGCAGUGGGGAAUAUUGGGCAAUGGGCGCAAGCCUGACCCAGCAACGCCGCGUGAAGGAAGAAGGCUUUCGGGUUGUAAACUUCUUUUGUCAGGGACGAAGCAAGUGACGGUACCUGACGAAUAAGCCACGGCUAACUACGUGCCAGCAGGCGAGGUAAUACGUAGGUGGCAAGAGUUAUCCGGAUUUAUUGGGUGGAAAGGGCGUGUAGGCGGGAAUGCAAGUCAGAGGUGAAAACUAUGGGCUCAACCCAUAGCCUGCAUUUGAAACUGUAUUUCUUGAGUGCUGGAGAGGCAAUCGGAAUGCCGUGUGUAGCGGUGAAAUGCGUAGAUAUACGGAGGAACACCAGUGGCGAAGGCGGAUUGCUGGACAGUAACUGACGCUGAGGCGCGAAAGCGUGGGGAGCAAACAGGAUUAGAUACCCGAGUAGUC